rnacentral:tRNA from 1 species
GGUUGUGUAGUGUAAUGGUUAGCACAUCAGAUUCUGAUUCUGAUAAUCCCGGUUCGAUCCCGGGCACGACCU